CGCCCACAGGUACCCGGAUGCCGGCCGCCCCUCACGCCCCUCAUCACCCACAGGUACCCGGAUGCCGACCGCCCCUCACGCCCCUCAGCGCCCACAGGUACCCGGAUGCCGGCCGCCCCUCACGCCCCUCAGCGCCCACAGGUACCCGGAUGCCGGCCGCCCCUCACGCCCCUCAGCGCCCACAGGUACCCGGAUGCCGGCCGUCCCUCACGCCCCUCAGGACCCACAAGUAGGAGCGAGCACCUGUCCGGAGAAGCAACACCCUUUCCUAACCCGGGGUCCGCGCUCCGAUUGCUUCCUGGAGAGAAAGUGCUGCGUUCUGCUCACAUGCUUCACUUCCCAACUGCGAAACACAUGGGGAUGGGGAAGGCUGGGACGCCGGGCGCGGGAGGACGACGACACCGGGGGCGGGCGGACGGAGAGGACGGAGACAGCUGGCGGGGGAGGACGGGGACGCCGGGUGCAGGGGCACAGUGUGCCCCUGACUGCGAGAGCUGACACCCACUUCCCCCGGCCCCCUGCCACCCUCCAGGGCUCAGCUGCACUGCAGGAGACAGCAGGCUUUAAUUUUAUGGACAAGCUUUUUGAGAUGCAGCGGACAGACGAUUCACAACGAAGAGAACAGCAUUUUUCAAAUGCAGGAAACUCCCGCGCCAGUUGUUCCCUGUGGCUCCCGGUGGCUCUGACCAGCCGCCCGCAGCGCCCACCACCCAUGGCCUCGUCCUCGCGCCCCCAGGCCAGUGCGAUGAGCCUCGUUUCUGAAAAGCGGGAAAGGGGCUGCGUCAAAGGAUGUGCUAAAAUAACCCAACAGCACGGAGGGCACGUCUGUGGUUACGAGGAGCUUCCACGGCAACUGAGAGCUUUCUAUUCUCGUUUGUUUUUUAAUUAUGCACAAAUUCUAUUUUUAUCCAAUUUGUGGUCCACCAACUGAAAGAGAAAACUAACUCCCAAAACCCCCUCUUUUCAGCUGCUUUUACUUCACACUUGCAGAGACAUAAAUCCACUCUGCCACAGAUACAUCAGAAAACUCUUUAAAUUACUAAUUUCUACAAAUGAGAUAUGCUGACAGCUCCUGACGUUUUCCGUGCAGGGGACCGUUUUCUCCCGCGUUUCAAUGGAAAGGGCUCCUUCUGUGGAAACACAGAGCCAGCCUCUCCCGUUUCGCUGCUGCGCACACACGGGCCACUUGAUUUGGAAUAAUCGUUGAGGCCCAAGACACCCAGACAGCAGAACCAGAGAUGGGAUUCCAGAAGAUUCCAGAAGACGCAGGGAGAGUACCCAAGCACUGAGCCGUGUCCGCAGAGACGGGCAGCACCAGGCACCGGCGCUACUCACGGGCCGGUGAAAAUACAUCCAUUAAAACCCAGGGCUGCCUGUAGUCCCAGCUACUCGGGAGGCUAAGGCAGGAGAAUCACUUGAACCCAGGAGACAGAGGUUGUAGUGAGCUGAGAUUGCACCACUGCACUCCAGCCCGGGUGAGAGUGAGACUCCGUCUCAAAAACAAAAAACAAAAAACAAAAACCUCAGAGCUUUCUCCACACUCAUGGUCCUGCUUUACCCUCUAAAUAGCCUCGAUUCCUACACCCGCCCCUCAUCCGGACACAGUGAAAAGGGCGACAGCCAGUGCCCCUCACCAAUAUAAUUUACAGCAAAUAGGGUAGACUGGGCCAUUAUUUCUCUAUUGCUUUAUUUCCACUCCUUCUUUCAUAGCCUCAUUUCCUGUCCUAUCUAAUAUCCUUCCCACUGAGCAAUAACAAGCUUUCGGUCAGUAAAAACCGAGGCAGGGAUGGGGAGGUGCAGGCCUGCAGUGACAGAGCGUGGCGCAGCGCUGUCUGACCUUUCCCACCUGGGAGGGUGGAGACUUUAAAUGUCAAACAGGCCACUGUGCACUCAGGUGUCUCCUGCAUUUCCUUGCUUCAAGCACCGACGAGGUAGGUACUAAUUGGCAUCAAGCACACAGGCCACAAGCAUCACGUUAACAUCAUCUGCAAGUGCUGGCGAAAACGCCUCGCCCCAGCGCCCCAGCGCCCUGCCCGCUAAUUCCCUGCCGCCGGCUGUUGCGUUGGCAAACAGCCAUUU